GGGAGUGACGUCUCCGAAUGUUGUUGUUGGUGGCGGCGGCGAGCGGAGCCGGAGGAGCCGCCGCAAAGAUGGAGGAGCCGUCGAGGAGGCGCUGCCGCCGCUGCCGCCGCCGCUGCUGCCGCCGCCGCCCGCGAAGCCGGAGCUCGAGCCGCAGCGGGGAUGCCGUUCUGAGUGCCUGACUGCCUCGCCCCGAAGGAUGGCCUCGGAUGGGCAUUAGAGGCACGGCGGCCCCGGGCUCCCGUCCCGUCCGUCUGUCUGUUAUCGUCUGUCUCUCUUGACAUCACCGCAGCUCCACCCCCUCCCGUCCCAGCCCCCAACGCCAGCUUCCUGCGGGCCCAGAGCCGGCAUGAACUCUCCCAACGAGUCGGAUGGGAUGUCAGGCCGGGAACCAUCCUUGGAAAUCCUGCCUCGGACUUCUGUGCACCGCAUCCCUGUGACAGUGGAGGUGAAGCCGGUGCUGCCAGGAGCCAUGCCCAGCUCCAUGGGGGGUGGGGGUGGAGGCAGCCCCAGCCCUGUGGAGCUACGGGGGGCUCUGGUGGGCUCUGUGGACCCCACACUGCGGGAGCAGCAACUGCAGCAGGAGCUCCUGGCGCUCAAGCAGCAGCAGCAGCUGCAGAAGCAGCUCCUGUUCGCUGAGUUCCAGAAACAGCAUGACCACCUGACAAGGCAGCAUGAGGUCCAGCUGCAGAAGCACCUCAAGCAGCAGCAGGAGAUGCUGGCAGCCAAACAGCAGCAGGAGAUGCUGGCAGCCAAGCGGCAGCAGGAGCUGGAGCAGCAACGGCAGCGGGAGCAGCAGCGGCAGGAAGAGCUGGAGAAGCAGCGGCUGGAGCAGCAGCUGCUCAUCCUGCGGAACAAGGAGAAGAGCAAAGAGAGUGCCAUUGCCAGCACUGAGGUAAAGCUGAGGCUCCAGGAAUUCCUCUUGUCGAAGUCAAAGGAGCCCACACCAGGCGGCCUCAACCAUUCCCUCCCACAGCACCCCAAAUGCUGGGGAGCCCACCAUGCUUCUUUGGACCAGAGUUCUCCUCCCCAGAGCGGCCCUCCUGGGACGCCUCCCUCCUACAAACUGCCUUUGCCUGGGCCCUAUGACAGUCGAGACGACUUCCCCCUCCGCAAGACAGCCUCUGAACCCAACUUGAAAGUGCGUUCAAGGCUAAAACAGAAGGUGGCAGAGCGAAGAAGCAGUCCCCUCCUACGUCGUAAGGAUGGGACUGUUAUUAGCACCUUUAAGAAGAGAGCUGUUGAGAUCACAGGUGCUGGGCCUGGGGCGUCGUCCGUGUGUAACAGCGCACCAGGCUCCGGCCCCAGCUCUCCCAACAGCUCCCACAGCACCAUCGCUGAGAAUGGCUUUACUGGCUCAGUCCCCAACAUCCCUACCGAGAUGCUCCCCCAGCACCGAGCCCUCCCUCUGGACAGCUCCCCCAACCAGUUCAGCCUCUACACAUCUCCCUCUCUGCCUAACAUCUCCCUAGGGCUGCAGGCCACGGUCACUGUCACCAACUCGCACCUCACCGCCUCCCCGAAGCUGUCGACGCAGCAGGAGGCCGAGAGGCAGGCCCUCCAGUCCCUGCGGCAGGGUGGCAUGCUGACCGGCAAGUUCAUGAGCACAUCCUCUAUCCCUGGCUGCCUGCUGGGUGUGGCACUGGAGGGCGACGGGAGCCCCCAUGGACAUGCCUCCCUGCUGCAGCACGUGCUACUGCUGGAGCAGGCCCGGCAGCAGAGCACCCUCAUUGCUGUGCCGCUCCACGGGCAGUCCCCACUAGUGACGGGUGAACGUGUGGCCACCAGCAUGCGGACAGUGGGCAAGCUCCCACGGCAUCGGCCCCUGAGCCGCACUCAGUCCUCACCGCUGCCGCAGAGUCCCCAGGCCCUGCAGCAGCUGGUCAUGCAACAACAGCACCAGCAGUUCCUGGAGAAGCAGAAGCAGCAGCAGCUGCAGCUGGGCAAGAUUCUCACCAAAACAGGGGAGCUGCCCAGGCAGCCCACCACCCACCCUGAGGAAACAGAGGAGGAGCUGACGGAGCAGCAGGAGGCCUUGCUGGGGGAGGGAACCCUGACCAUGCCCCGGGAGGGCUCCACAGAGAGUGAGAGCACACAGGAAGACCUGGAGGAGGAGGAGGAGGAGGAAGAGGAUGGGGAGGAGGAGGAUUGCAUCCAGGUCAAGGACGAGGAGGGCGAGAGUGGUGCUGAGGAGGGGCCCAACUCGGAGGAGCCCAGUGCUGGUUACAAAAAGCUAUUUUCAGAUGCCCAGCAGCUGCAGCCACUGCAGGUGUACCAGGCGCCCCUCAGCCUGGCCACUGUGCCUCACCAGGCCCUGGGCCGCACCCAGUCCUCCCCUGCUGCCCCUGGGGGCAUGAAGAGCCCUCCAGACCAGCCCGUGAAACACCUCUUCACCACAGGUGUGGUCUACGACACGUUCAUGCUAAAGCACCAGUGCAUGUGCGGAAACACACAUGUGCACCCUGAACAUGCUGGCCGGAUCCAGAGCAUCUGGUCCCGGCUGCAGGAGACAGGCCUGCUUAGCAAGUGCGAGCGGAUCCGGGGUCGCAAAGCUACGUUAGACGAGAUCCAGGCAGUGCACUCUGAAUACCACACCCUGCUCUACGGCACCAGCCCCCUCAACCGGCAGAAGUUGGACAGCAAGAAGUUGCUCGGCCCCAUCAGCCAGAAGAUGUAUGCCGUGCUGCCUUGUGGAGGCAUCGGGGUGGACAGCGACACUGUGUGGAACGAGAUGCACUCCUCCAGUGCUGUGCGCAUGGCGGUGGGCUGCCUGCUGGAGCUGGCCUUCAAGGUGGCUGCGGGAGAGCUCAAGAAUGGAUUUGCCAUCAUCCGGCCCCCAGGACACCACGCCGAGGAGUCCACAGCCAUGGGAUUCUGCUUUUUCAACUCCGUAGCCAUCACAGCGAAACUCCUACAACAGAAGUUGAACGUGGGCAAGGUCCUCAUCGUGGACUGGGACAUUCACCAUGGCAAUGGCACCCAGCAGGCAUUCUACAACGACCCCUCUGUGCUCUACAUCUCUCUGCAUCGCUAUGACAACGGGAACUUCUUUCCAGGCUCUGGGGCUCCUGAAGAGGUUGGUGGAGGGCCAGGCGUGGGGUACAAUGUGAAUGUGGCAUGGACAGGAGGUGUGGACCCCCCCAUUGGAGAUGUGGAGUACCUUACAGCCUUCAGGACAGUAGUGAUGCCCAUUGCCCAUGAGUUCUCACCUGACGUGGUCCUAGUCUCUGCCGGGUUUGAUGCUGUUGAAGGACAUCUGUCUCCACUGGGUGGCUACUCUGUCACCGCCAGAUGUUUUGGCCACUUGACCAGGCAGCUGAUGACCCUGGCAGAGGGCCGGGUGGUGCUGGCCCUGGAGGGAGGCCACGACUUGACCGCCAUCUGUGAUGCCUCUGAGGCUUGUGUCUCAGCUCUGCUCAGUGUAGAGCUGCAGCCCUUGGACGAGGCAGUCUUGCAGCAAAAGCCCAACAUCAAUGCAGUGGCCACACUAGAGAAAGUCAUCGAGAUCCAGAGUGCGUGGGGAUUCAUGGAGGGGCUCGGGCGGCCAAGGGGAGCGGAGCUUGUGGGAACACCAGGACUGGAGAAGUUCAUGUGGGUGUCGUCUGCCCUCCCUCACCCCUUGCCCAUCUGUCAUCCACAGGCAAACACUGGAGCUGUGUGCAGAAGUUCGCCACUGGUCUGGGCCGUUCCCUGCGGGAAGCCCAGGCAGGUGAGACCGAGGAGGCUGAGACUGUGAGCGCCAUGGCCUUGCUGUCGGUGGGGGCUGAGCAGGUCCAGGCUGCGGCAGCCCGGGAGCACAGCCCCAGGCCGGCAGAGGAGCCCAUGGAGCAGGAGCCUGCCCUGUGACACCCUGGCCCCCGUCCCACUGGGCUUCACCAUUGUGAUUUUGUUUAUUUUUUCUAUUAAAAACAAAAAGUCACACAUUCAACAAGGUGUGCCGUGUGGGUCUCUCAGCCUUGCCCCUCCUGCUCCUCCACGCUGCCUCAGGCCCCCAGCCGUGUGGCCUCCACCUCAGCUCUAGAAGCCUGCUCCCUUCACAGGGGGUGGGGGGUGUCUUCCCAGCCCUGACCCAGGUGUCCCUCCACCCAUUUCCCUGCAUUCUGUCCUUUUCCCCCUUGGAGCCUGGGCCAGCUCAAGGUGGACACGGGACCCAGACAGUACCCUCCAGUUCUGGAGCCCCCCUGAGUGAGGAGGGAACAGGAAGUCGGUGCCUUGGUUUCAGCUGACUUGGGGGGAAAUGCCUUAAUUUCACCCUCCUCCCUUCUCCAGCCUCAGGGGGGGAUCUGGAGGGUCCACUACUAAGAUGCAGAGUGGAAGGGAGGUGGGCACCUACCCUGUGAUUCUCCACCUUUUCCCCUUCUUUCAUCCUGUCCAUCUCUGCACAGACCCCUUUCUUCCUCCUCCUUGGUCUCAGCACUGAUGGGAGGCUGGUGCCCAAGCCAUGGCUGUGGUCUGUGAGCAGGGCUGUCUUGCCUCAUACUCUUCUGGGCCUGCUUCCCCUUCCCCGGGCCGAGAAGAUGAAAAAGUGUGGGGAAGGAGAGGACUGGUUUCCUGGGUUCUCAGGGGCCAGGAGGAGCUGCAGAACCAGGCCUCCUCCCCACCUUACUUGGAUGGCCUCCCUGUCCCUCUGCUGGCACAGCCUGGGCAGGGGGAGAAGAUGGUCCCUGCAGGGGGGCUUCAGGCUGGUGAGAGCCCCCCUGCUGUCAGGACUAGCUCUCCCUAGCCAUCCAGCAUGCUGCAGGGAGAAGGGGCAGGGGCUCACUCCCUCCUGGGGCCUUUUGCUUUGGAGCCUAGGGAUGGUGAGAGUGGGGAUUCUAGAAGGGGUAAGGUCAGAACCCAGGGAUCCAGGAGUUCGUCCUCCGCUGGACCUUCCAUACCUCUUGGGCUCCCUUUGCUGGCCCCAAGCCCAAGGGAGCUAAGACCAGGAGGGGGCUGGGUGCUGCCCCUUCUCUUUCCCAGGAGCCCUGCCAGGGGCUGUGGGCCCACAAGGCUUCCAGGGAAUGUUGUCCAGCCUGUAGGAAACCAAAGAUGGGAAGUGGCUCCUAGGGGGCUGACUCUUCCUCCCUCUUCCUCCCCAGUAGCACAUAUACUUUCUCUCCUCCCAUCCCCAGGGCCCCACCAAUCUGUUUACAUAUUUAUUAUCCUAUUGGGGGCCUGAGCAGGGUUGAAGGAGCCAGGGGAGGAGCAGGAGCCCCAGCACCAUCGAUUUAUUGGUUCGUUGUUCGCUAUGUGUUGUAUGUUUUAGAUCCUCCUGGGGGAUGGGGAUGGGGCUAGGCCCAGUGUACCAGGCCUCUCUACUGAGCCCCAGGCUCCAGGCCCCUUGCCCACCCUCUCCCUGUGGCUGGUCUGGUUCUCAUGUAAACCCACUCCUUGCUUUGUCUCCCUGGAUAUGGAUUUCAGUUAAGGAUUUUGUAACCCGUUACACUGUGUCCUUGUGUAAAUAAACUUGUUUCUGGCAGUGC